AACGAACGCUGGCGGCAGGCCUAACACAUGCAAGUCGAGCGAGGACUUCGGUUCUAGCGGCGGACGGGUGAGUAACGCGUGGGAAUGUGCCCUUCUCUACGGAAUAGCCCUGGGAAACUGGGAGUAAUACCGUAUACGCCCUAUUGGGGAAAGAUUUAUCGGAGAAGGAUCAGCCCGCGUUGGAUUAGGUAGUUGAUGGGGUAAUGGCCUACCAAGCCGACGAUCCAUAGCUGGUUUGAGAGGAUGAUCAGCCACACUGGGACUGAGACACGGCCCAGACUCCUACGGGAAGCAGCAGUGGGGAAUCUUAGACAAUGGGGGCAACCCUGAUCUAGCCAUGCCGCGUGAGUGAUGAAGGCCUUAGGGUUGUAAAGCUCUUUCAGCUGGGAAGAUAAUGACGGUACCAGCAGAAGAAGCCCCGGCUAACUCCGUG
rnacentral:rRNA from 1 species